UACGGAGGGUGCGAGCGUUAAUCGGAAUUACUGGGCGUAAAGCGCACGUAGGCGGUCAGGCAAGUCGGGUGUGAAAGCCCUGGGCUCAACCUGGGAAUUGCAUUCGAAACUAUCUGACUCGAGUAUGGGAGAGGGAAGCGGAAUUUCCGGUGUAGCGGUGAAAUGCGUAGAUAUCGGAAGGAACACCAGUGGCGAAGGCGGCUUCCUGGUCCAGCACCGACGUUCAGGCACGAAAGCGUGGGGAGCAAACAGG
rnacentral:rRNA from 1 species